ACGGAACAGGCAAGCGUUGUUCGGAAUCACUGGGCUUAAAGCGCGCGUAGGCGGCUUGGUAAGUACCGUGUGAAAUUUUCCGUCUCAACCGGGGCACUGCUUGGGAUACUGCCGUGCUUGAGGUGGGAUGGAGUAGCUGGAACUCUAGGUGGAGCGGUGAAAUGCUUAGAUAUCUCGAGGAACUCCGAUGGCGAAGGCAGCUUACUGAGCCAAUCCUGACGCUGAUGCACGAAGGCGUGGGUAUCAAACAG
rnacentral:rRNA from 1 species